rnacentral:rRNA from 1 species
AAUUGUUGCAGUUAAAAGCUCGUAGUUGAAUUUCUGCUGCAUUGCUUGUGUCCCUCUGGGGUCUGUGCAUGUGGCUUUUUUCGGACGGAGUUUCUUUGUCUGAAUGUUUACUUUGAGAAAAUUAGAGUGCUCAAAGCAGGCUUUCGCCUUGAAUAGUUUAGCAUGGAAUAAUAAAGUAGGACUUUGGUUCUAUUUUGUUGGUUUUAGGUACCAAAGUAAUGGUUAAUAGGAACAGUUGGGGGCAUUCGUAUUUAACUGUCAGAGGUGAAAUUCUUAGAUUUGUUAAAGACAAACUACUGCGA